GAAACAAACUUGCUUUGGCGGUGGGCCCAGCCUGCCGCCAGAGGUCUAAACUUACAACCAAUUUUUUAUUAACUUGUCACACCAGAUUAUUACUAAAUAGUCAAAACUUUCAACAACGGAUCUCUUGGUUCUCGCAUCGAUGAAGAACGCAGCGAAAUGCGAUACGUAAUAUGAAUUGCAGAUAUUCGUGAAUCAUCGAAUCUUUGAACGCACAUUGCGCCCUCUGGUAUUCCGGAGGGCAUGCCUGUUUGAGCGUCGUUUCUCCCUCAAACCGCUGGGUUUGGUGUUGAGCAAUACGACUUGGGUUUGCUUGAAAGACGGUAGUGGUAAGGCGGGAUCGCUUUGACAAUGGCUUAGGUCUAACCAAAAACAUUGCUUGCGGCGGUAACGUCCACCACGUAUAUCUUCAAACUUUGACCUCAAAUCAGGUAGGACUACCCGCUGAACUUAAGCAUAUCAAUAAGCGGAGGAAAAG
rnacentral:rRNA from 1 species